CUCUUGCCACUAGGCCAUAUCCCCAGCCCCAUCUUGAACAGUCUUGAUGUAACAGAGAAUUGUAUAUCUUUAGUAAGAACUAGGAUGGCUUCCCUGGCAUUUUGGACCCAUGGAU